rfam:Plasmodium vivax scf_6413 genomic scaffold, whole genome shotgun sequence.
GCCAGGCGCAGUGGCGCAUGCCUGUAGUCCCAGCUACUCGGGAGGCUGAGGCUGGAGGAUCUCUUGAGCCCAGGAGUUCUGGGCUGUAGUUCGCUACGCCGAUCAGGUGUCCACACUAAGUUUGGCAUCAAUAUGGUGACCUCCCGGGAGCGGGGGCCCACCAGGUUGCCUAAGGAGGGGUGAACCGGCCCAGGUCGGAAACAGAGCAGGUCAAAAUUCCCGUGCUGAUUAGUAGUGGGAUCGUGCCUGUGAAUAGCCACUGCACUCCAGAGUGGGCAACACAGAGAGACCCCCAUCUCUU